GUUUUAAACUUGUCCCGGACAGCAAGUAACCUUCACUUUUAGCAGGUUUGGAACUUUCGAAGUAGAUGUGCUCACCCGCCAAAGUGUGUCUGCCAGUCAGAUCAUCAAAAGGAUAUUUAAGUUUGUCUAGAUGUGCACUUCAGUCAUGCUGGGACAAUCUGUAACAAGAGUCUUUGGCGAGGAUAAGACAAUUGAAACACUACAGCUUAGCUGACAUUUUGAGUUUUUGUCCACCAAAACAGAGAUGUCAGCACUUGUGGAAGGACCACUAUAGGUAACAGCCAAGAAAUCUAACAUUUUGGCCCAAUAUGGCUUUCUUUUAAAAUUAAAAAGUUGCACAUACCUACAGUUGAGUCCACCAACUACACAGAAUCUGCUGUUUACUUUACACUAUGGCAGCAUCACCAGAGCACGGCUUUCAGUGAAGUUUUCAAGGUGAGUUAUAGAAGAUACGUGUUCAAAAAUUUCAUUUAGAAUAUUUUAUAUGAAAACAUACAAAUUGUUCAUUUAUAUAUAAACUACAUAUAAAAUAUAAUUAAUGAUAGUAUCUUUUACUAGCUAUUUGUAUAUAAAGGGAAAUAGGAUAUAGUCAGGGCUUCAGAAGAAAUAAUGAAGAUCUAUGUGCUUUUGUAUUUGCCGAUUAAAACCCUAUUUAAAUAAUAAAUCAUAAUAGUCCUUUGCUGUUUUUAAGGAGAGUUUCAGAUUUAAAAUACAUUCAUAAAACAAAGAUAUUUUUCUCCCUGAGACUACCAGUGUUAAUUACUUUGUGGUAAUCUUUGAAUUAUCAAAAAUAUAAAUAAUAAAGACAGUAGGCCUGAUUCUCCAAUCUGUUAUAGCAGUUGUCUGGCAAUGAAGUAACACUGGUGUUGCACCGGCGUAACAGACUAGAGAAUCAGGCUUACUACCUGAAAAAGCCAAGUAGUCCAUGGAUUCAUGUCAAAAGGUAAAAAGGAAACUCCCUUUAUGUAGACAAUUGAAUACACUUGAGCUUUUAUAAAAGAUGUGCAUACAAUUGUGUGCAUACGAUUACUUUUAAAGCCUUUAUUCAGCCUGAAGGAGGAUGUCCUCAAAAUGCAGAUUUCCUUUAUGAUUCUUGGUUUACCCAGUGAUACUUAUUUUAGUAUCCCAAAUGUUCCAAGGAUCAUUUGUCUUUGUAGAUAUUCAAAAAAUAAACAGGUAAUUCAUGAAGGCAGGUUCUGGUGAAACUCAACAUCAAAUGUACUGGUUAUUUCUAGAGUGCAGGGUCUAAUGAGCAGUAGGUAAGAAGUUAGCAAAAAAGAAAACGCCCUAAAUUUUUUUUAUGGUCUUGUCAAAGUCACUCAGUUUUGAAGGCUAGCAGCUAAACUAUGUCUGAUUUAUUUCGUAUUCACCACUUUAAAUGUAAGUAAGAGGACAAUUUUUAAAGUGCUACAAAUAAAAAUAAAUUUGAGAUGAAUUAAACAUACCUUGCCUAGUCUGAUAUUUUUAUUUUAUUUUAUUUAUCAUUGAAAGAUUAUUUUGAUUUAUUAUAACCAUGCAGUACAUUGCUUUGGGAGGAGGGGGAGCCUUCCUGCAACCAAAGAAAACAUAUAUUUAUAAGAAAAAUGGGGAAAGCCUUAUGUUUGUUCUACCAAAAUUUAUUAUGUAAUAAUUACAAAGUUUAAAGACUCUUCCAUUUUAAAUAAAAAUAAUUGAUAUAAUUACGCACAUUAUAUAGAAUCAUGUCAAGUGAUUCCAACAAAUAUCACAUGAAAUACAGUGCAUUUUCAACUCAGACAAAUACUUUCUCAUUCACAGUGUUUGACAUAGUACAGGAAACUAACUAAAUCCUUGUUCACAUAGGAUUUACUUAAAGACAUGCUCUUAUAAACAAUCCACACCACGCUAUGCCACA